rnacentral:rRNA from 1 species
GACGACCGGCGCACGGGUGAGUAACACGUAUCCAACCUUCCCAUAACUCAGGGAUAGACCUUUCGAAAGAAAGAUUAAUACCUGAUAGUACUUUUUCAAGGCAUCUUGAGAAAGUUAAAGAUUUAUUGGUUAUGGAUGGGGAUGCGUUCCAUUAGAUAGUUGGUGAGGUAACGGCUCACCAAGUCUUCGAUGGAUAGGGGUUCUGAGAGGAAGGUCCCCCACAUUGGUACUGAGACACGGACCAAACUCCUACGGGAGGCAGCAGUGAGGAAUAUUGGUCAAUGGGCGAGAGCCUGAACCAGCCAAGUAGCGUGAAGGAAUGAAGGUCCUAUGGAUUGUAAACUUCUUUUAUAGUAGAAUAAAGUGAUCCACGUGUGGAUUUUGUAUCGUAUACUAUGAAGUAAGGAUCGGCUAACUCCGUGCCAGCCGCCGC